AACGUCACGUGAAUUGUCUCCUAGUGUGUUUUGGAAUGUGAUAGCGACCACUUUGGACCAGCAGAUCUUGAAGUGGUAGAGUUAUUCCUAAAGACGAGGCCAUGUUUAACCUUUCAGAUUAAAUCACCUAUCAGAGAACCAAAACUUUGUCUGAUCAGGAGAGGCUGGAUGAAAUGGUGUAGCAUUCAAUGAAUCCACUACUGUGCCCAGAAUCCCUGAAACCAUGACAACAACAGAAUACCUUUUCUACUCUGGAUCUCCAGCUCCAUCUGGUGUUUGAAAAGAGGAAGUCCAAAGCUGCCUCAUUUCAGCUGUUUAUAAAAAUGCU